UACAGAGGUGGCAAGCGUUUGUUCGGAAUUACUGGGCGUAAAGGGUGCGUAGGCGGGUCUUUAAGUCAGGGGUGAAAUCCUGGAGCUCAACUCCAGAACUGCCUUUGAUACUGAAGAUCUUGAGUUCGGGAGAGGUGAGUGGAACUGCGAGUGUAGAGGUGAAAUUCGUAGAUAUUCGCAAGAACACCAGUGGCGAAGGCGGCUCACUGGCCCGAUACUGACGCUGAGGCACGAAAGCGUGGGGAGCAAACAGG
rnacentral:rRNA from 1 species